GCGCCGGUGGUGUAAGGCGUACUGUCGCUGCCCGCAGAGCAGAAAUUGCGGGUUCGAGUCCCGCCUGGCGCA
rnacentral:tRNA from 1 species